GGGUGUGGUAGAGGCGCGGAUGACAAGAGUACCAUGAAGAAGGUUGCGAACACCGAUGAAUUCAUGGGAAAGGGAAAUUCGCCGAAGCCCAAAAAGGCGUGCUUUUUGGUGCUGGGUCUGUAGUAAAGAACUGCAGGACUGUCACACGAUGCUUUUGAUCUUAUCAUCGUGUGGAGAACUACUCACAAC
rnacentral:ncRNA from 2 species